UACGUAGGGUGCAAGCGUUGUCCGGAUUUAUUGGGCGUAAAGAGCUCGUAGGCGGUCUGUCGCGUCGGAUGUGAAAACCCAGGGCUCAACCCUGGGCCUGCAUUCGAUACGGGCAGACUAGAGUGUGGCAGGGGAGACUGGAAUUCCUGGUGUAGCGGUGAAAUGCGCAGAUAUCAGGAGGAACACCGGUGGCGAAGGCGGGUCUCUGGGCCAAUACUGACGCUGAGGAGCGAAAGCAUGGGGAGCGAACAGG
rnacentral:rRNA from 1 species